rnacentral:rRNA from 1 species
CCUACGGGUGGCAGCAGUGAGGAAUAUUGGUCAAUGGACGAGAGUCUGAACCAGCCAAGUAGCGUGAAGGAUGACUGCCCUAUGGGUUGUAAACUUCUUUUAUAUGGGAAUAACAUGUUCCACGUGUGGGAUUUUGUAUGUACCAUAUGAAUAAGGAUCGGCUAACUCCGUUCCAGCAGCCGCGGUAAUACGGAGGAUCCGAGCGUUAUCCGGAUUUAUUGGGUUUAAAGGGAGCGUAGGUGGAUUGUUAAGUCAGUUGUGAAAGUUUGCGGCUCAACCGUAAAAUUGCAGUUGAAACUGGCAGUCUUGAGUACAGUAGAGGUGGGCGGAAUUCGUGGUGUAGCGGUGAAAUGCUUAGAUAUCACGAAGAACUCCGAUUGCGAAGGCAGUUCACUGGACUGCAACUGACACUGAGGCUCGAAAGUGUGGGUAUCAAACAGGAUUAGAUACCCGUGUAGUC